GCGUGCCUAAUACAUGCAAGUCGAGCGAAUGGAUUAAGAGCUUGCUCUUAUGAAGUUAGCGGCGGACGGGUGAGUAACACGUGGGUAACCUGCCCAUAAGACUGGGAUAACUCCGGGAAACCGGGGCUAAUACCGGAUAACAUUUUGAACCGCAUGGUUCGAAAUUGAAAGGCGGCUUCGGCUGUCACUUAUGGAUGGACCCGCGUCGCAUUAGCUAGUUGGUGAGGUAACGGCUCACCAAGGCAACGAUGCGUAGCCGACCUGAGAGGGUGAUCGGCCACACUGGGACUGAGACACGGCCCAGACUCCUACGGGAGGCAGCAGUAGGGAAUCUUCCGCAAUGGACGAAAGUCUGACGGAGCAACGCCGCGUGAGUGAUGAAGGCUUUCGGGUCGUAAAACUCUGUUGUUAGGGAAGAACAAGUGCUAGUUGAAUAAGCUGGCACCUUGACGGUACCUAACCAGAAAGCCACGGCUAACUACGUGCCAGCAGCCGCGGUAAUACGUAGGUGGCAAGCGUUAUCCGGAAUUAUUGGGCGUAAAGCGCGCGCAGGUGGUUUCUUAAGUCUGAUGUGAAAGCCCACGGCUCAACCCGUGGAGGGUCAUU
rnacentral:rRNA from 1 species